rnacentral:rRNA from 1 species
CCUACGGGUGGCAGCAGUGGGGAAUAUUGGACAAUGGGCGAAAACCUGAUCCAGCCAUGCCGCGUGUGUGAAGAAGGCCUUCGGGUUGUAAAGCACUUUCAGUGGGGAAGAAAGCCUUGGGGCUAAUACCCUCGAGGAAGGACAUCACCCACAGAAGAAGCACCGGCUAACUCCGUGCCAGCAGCCGCGGUAAUACGGAGGGUGCGAGCGUUAAUCGGAAUUACUGGGCGUAAAGCGCGCGUAGGCGGUCUGAUAAGCCGGUUGUGAAAGCCCCGGGCUCAACCUGGGAACGGCAUCCGGAACUGUCAGGCUAGAGGGCAGGAGAGGAAGGUAGAAUUCCCGGUGUAGCGGUGAAAUGCGUAGAGAUCGGGAGGAAUACCAGUGGCGAAGGCGGCCUUCUGGACUGACACUGACGCUGAGGUGCGAAAGCGUGGGUAGCAAACAGGAUUAGAUACCCCAGUAGUC